rnacentral:pre_miRNA from 1 species
AUAAUACUCCCUCCGUCCCAAAAUUCUUAUCUUAGAUUUGUCUAGAUACGGAUGUAUCUAAUACUAAAAUGUGACUUGAUACAUCCAUAUUUAGACAAAUCUAAGACAAGAAUUUUGGGAUGGAGGGAGUAUUAC